UACGUAGGGUGCGAGCGUUAAUCGGAAUUACUGGGCGUAAAGCGUGCGUAGGCGGUUCGUUAUGUCUGCUGUGAAAGCCCCGGGCUUAACCUGGGAAUGGCAGUGGAAACUGGCGGGCUUGAGUGUGGCAGAGGGGGGUGGAAUUCCGCGUGUAGCAGUGAAAUGCGUAGAGAUCGGGAGGAACACCUGUGGCGAAGGCGGCCCCCUGGGCCGGCCCUGACACUGAGGAGCGAAAGUGUGGGGAGCGAACAGG
rnacentral:rRNA from 1 species